rnacentral:rRNA from 1 species
AUUGAACGCUGGCGGCAUGCCUAAUACAUGCAAGUCGAACGGAAACAGGACGCUGUGAUCUCUUCGGAGUGAACUUGUCGCUGUCGAGUGGCGGACGGGUGAGUAAUGCUUGGGAAUCUACCCAGUAGUGGGGGACAACAGUCGGAAACGACUGCUAAUACCGCAUACGUACUAAGGUAGAAAGCGGGGGAUCUUCGGACCUCGCGCUAUUGGAUGAGCCCAAGUUGGAUUAGCUUGUUGGUGGGGUAAAGGCCUACCAAGGCUACGAUCCAUAGCUGGUCUGAGAGGACGAUCAGCCACACUGGGACUGAGACACGGCCCAG